rnacentral:rRNA from 1 species
UACAGAGGUUCCAAGCGUUGUUCGGAUUCACUGGGCGUAAAGGGUGCGUAGGUGGCCAGGUAAGUUUGGUGUGAAAGCUCGGAGCUUAACUCCGAAAAGUCAUUGAAUACUAUCUGGCUGGAGGGUCGGAGGGGAGACUGGAAUUCUCGGUGUAGCAGUGAAAUGCGUAGAUAUCGAGAGGAACACCAGUGGCGAAGGCGAGUCUCUGGACGACUCCUGACACUGAGGCACGAAAGCUAGGGGAGCAAACAGG